AACGCUAGCUACAGGCUUAACACAUGCAAGUCGAGGGGAAACGAUAUUGGAAGCUUGCUUCCGAUAGGCGUCGACCGGCGCACGGGUGAGUAACGCGUAUCCAACCUGCCCACCACUUGGGGAUAACCUUGCGAAAGUAAGACUAAUACCCAAUGAUAUCUCUAGAAGACAUCUGAAAGAGAUUAAAGAUUUAUCGGUGAUGGAUGGGGAUGCGUCUGAUUAGCUUGUUGGCGGGGUAACGGCCCACCAAGGCAACGAUCAGUAGGGGUUCUGAGAGGAAGGUCCCCCACAUUGGAACUGAGACACGGUCCAAACUCCUACGGGAGGCAGCAGUGAGGAAUAUUGGUCAAUGGACGAGAGUCUGAACCAGCCAAGUAGCGUGCAGGAAGACGGCCCUAUGGGUUGUAAACUGCUUUUAUAAGGGAAUAAAGUGAGUCUCGUGAGACUUUUUGCAUGUACCUUAUGAAUAAGGACCGGCUAAUUCCGUGCCAGCAGCCGCGGUAAUACGGAAGGUCCGGGCGUUAUCCGGAUUUAUUGGGUUUAAAGGGAGCGUAGGCCGGAGAUUAAGCGUGUUGCGAAAUGUAGAUGCUCAACAUCUGCACUGCAGCGCGAACUGGUUUCCUUGAGUACGCACAAAGUGGGCGGAAUUCGUGGUGUAGCGGUGAAAUGCUUAGAUAUCACGAAGAACUCCGAUUG
rnacentral:rRNA from 1 species